rnacentral:lncRNA from 1 species
UGAUAGCUGGUUUAUAUUGUUGUUCUUAAAAUAUUACCUGGUGCAAAUAGACCAGAAACGCAAUUUUCUAUUGUGUAGUGGAGUUUCAAAUUAAAUUAACUUGAAAUCUUUUUUCACUUGCUGGGUUUAAGUUUUCGCCGUAGACUUCCCUUUUCAGUGAUAGGUUCUUAGAUAUUCUUAUGUUCUUACCGCCCCUUUUCAUAUACCCUACAAUGUUCCAGAAUGACACAAUUCCUUGUGAUACUAUAUCAUAACGAGGUUAUACAUUUCUUUUCAGGCAAUACGUCAUGAGCUUUACAAAAAUUCUACAGAGGACAAUUCAAGGCCAGACACCUCGCCAAUUGUCCUACUUUAUGCCAGUGUACGAGUCCUAUAGCAGAAAAACUGAAAAGAAACAUAUACAGUCUGUGUUUAACACUGCGGAAUUCACCUAUUUCCAUGUUUCCUCUGGCAAUAGGAGAUACAAGCCUGUAAAUAACAAAACACAGCACAACAAAUGGACCACUGUAAAUAACAAAGACUCUGACCGGCGACAGAAUAUGCCGACUGGACGGACCAAAAGUUAGAAAUUGAAGGAUCCUUUACUAUAUCUCCGAUAACAGUUUUAUUAGACAUAGAAAAUUAAUCUUUCGUACAGAUAAAGACAAUAUCUUGAAAACAUUUUUUGUGUGUUUAUAUUAAUUGGACAAAACAAGAACA